AAGUCGUAACAAGGUAUCCGUAGGUGAACCUGCGGAUGGAUCAUUACCAAUUUAUUAUAUUAGUUUGUGCAUUCCUGUAAAAGGGGGUUGUCACACAACUACUAUGUAAAUGUUGAACUAGAUCAAUCAGUGUGGAUUGCUUGGGAAUGGACGAAGCGACAAGCCUCUUCCGGACAGGCAAACCCCACAUUGGUGACCCUUUUCAUAUAUACUACUACCAAUACAUACUACAAACAAACAAACAAACAAAAGCUAUAAUAGGACUUAUAAAAAGUUGAGUGGGUAAAAGCCUCAGCUAUACAAUAUAACUAUUACAACUUUCAGCAAUGGAUCUCUAGGCUCUC
rnacentral:misc_RNA from 1 species